rnacentral:rRNA from 1 species
GAUGAACGCUGGCGGCGUGCCUAAUACAUGCAAGUCGAGCGAACAGACGAGGAGCUUGCUCCUCUGACGUUAGCGGCGGACGGGUGAGUAACACGUGGAUAACCUACCUAUAAGACUGGGAUAACUUCGGGAAACCGGAGCUAAUACCGGAUAACAUGUUGAACCGCAUGGUUCAACAGUGAAAGACGGUCUUGCUGUCACUUAUAGAUGGAUCCGCGCCGCAUUAGCUAGUUGGUAAGGUAACGGCUUACCAAGGCAACGAUGCGUAGCCGAUCUGAGAGGGUGAUCGGCCACACUGGAACUGAGACACGGUCCAGACUCCUACGGGAGGCAGCAGUAGGGAAUCUUCCGCAAUGGGCGAAAGCCUGACGGAGCAACGCCGCGUGAGUGAAGAAGGUCUUCGGAUCGUAAAACUCUGUUAUUAGGGAAGAACAAAUGUGUAAGUAACUAUGCACGUCUUGACGGUACCUAAUCAGAAAGCCACGGCUAACUACGUG